rnacentral:rRNA from 1 species
UACGGAGGGUGCAAGCGUUAUCCGGAAUUACUGGGUUUAAAGGGUGCGUAGGCGGCUUUAUAAGUCAGGGGUGAAAGCUUGCCGCUUAACGGUAAAAUUGCCUUUGAUACUGUAGAGCUUGAAAGAGGUUGAGGUCAGCAGAAUGUGGCAUGUAGCGGUGAAAUGCAUAGAUAUGCCAUAGAACACCGAUUGCGAAGGCAGCUGGCUGGGCCUACUUUGACGCUGAGGCACGAAAGCGUGGGGAGCGAACAGG